rnacentral:rRNA from 1 species
GGAUCAUUACCGAGUUCUACAAAAACUCCCAACCCUUUGUGAAUCGUACCUAGUUGCCUCGGCGCCGAGCAGCAGCUACCCUGGAGCUACCCUGGAGAAAUCCGGGAGGGCUACCCUGGAGCUACCCUGGAGAAAUCCGGGAGAGCUACCCGGGAGCUACCCUGGAGGAGUCUUGGAGAGCUACCCGGGAGUUGCGUCUACGCUCCGCCGGUGGACCACUAAACUCUGAAUAUUACCAGUGUAUCUAUGAAUUCUUUAACAAAAAUCGUUAAAACUUUCAACAACGGAUCUCUUGGUUCUGGCAUCGAUGAAGAACGCAGCGAAAUGCGAUAAGUAAUGUGAAUUGCAGAAUUCAGUGAAUCAUCGAAUCUUUGAACGCAUAUUGCGCCCAGUAGUAUUCUACUGGGCAUGCCUAUUCGAGCGUCAUUUCAACCCUUAUGCCCUGUAGCAUAGCGUUGGGGUUCUACUCCUCCGGGAGCAGUCCCCUAAAACCAGUGGCGGUGUUCGGUACACUCAUAGCGUAGUAAUUCUUUCUCGCUUCUGACGUGGCCCGAAUCUUCGGCCGUAAAACCCCCCUAUUUUUCUAUGGUUGACCUCGGAUUAGGUAGGAAUACCCGCUGAACUUAAGCAUAUCAAUAAGCGGAGGAAAAGAAACCAACAGGGAUUGCCCUAGUAACGGCGAGUGAAGCGGCAACAGCUCAAAUUUGAAAUCUGGCCCUCGGGUCCGAAUUGUAAUUUGUAGAGGAUGCUUUUGGCGCGGUGCCUUCUGAGUUCCCUGGAACGGGACGCCAGAGAGGGUGAGAGCCCCGUACGGUUGGCCACCUAGCCUCUAUAUAGCUCCUUCGACGAGUCGAGUAGUUUGGGAAUGCUGCUCUAAAUGGGAGGUAAAUUUCUUCUAAAGCUAAAUACCGGCCAGAGACCGAUAGCGCACAAGUAGAGUGAUCGAAAGAUGAAAAGUACUUUGAAAAGAGGGUUAAAAAGCACGUGAAAUUGUUGAAAGGGAAGCGUUUGUGACCAGACUUUUUCCAGGCGGAUCAUCCGGUGUUCUCACCGGUGCACUUCGCCUGGUUUAGGCCAGCAUCGGUUUCCGCAGGGGGAUAAAAGCGGGGGGAAUGUAGCUCCUCCGGGAGUGUUAUAGCCCCUCGCAUAAUACCCUUGCGGGGACCGAGGACCGCG